UACGUAGGUGGCAAGCGUUGUCCGGAUUUAUUGGGCGUAAAGCGAACGCAGGCGGCUUCUUAAGUCUGAUGUGAGAGCCCCCGGCUUAACCGGGGAGAGUCAUUGGAAACUGGGAGGCUUGAGUGCAGAAGAGGAGAGUGGAAUUCCGUGUGUAGCGGUGAAAUGCGUAGAUAUAUGGAGGAACACCGGUGGCGAAGGCGGCUCUCUGGUCUGUAACUGACGCUGAGGCUCGAAAGCGUGGGGAGCAAACAGG
rnacentral:rRNA from 1 species